rnacentral:rRNA from 1 species
GCAUGUUCACAUGAUUAAAGGUAUUCCGGUAGACGAUGGGGAUGCGUUCCAUUAGAUAGUAGGCGGGGUAACGGCCCACCUAGUCUUCGAUGGAUAGGGGUUCUGAGAGGAAGGUCCCCCACAUUGGAACUGAGACACGGUCCAAACUCCUACGGGAGGCAGCAGUGAGGAAUAUUGGUCAAUGGGCGAGAGCCUGAACCAGCCAAGUAGCGUGAAGGACGACUGCCCUAUGGGUUGUAAACUUCUUUUAUAAAGGAAUAAAGUCGGGUAUGCAUACCCGUUUGCAUGUACUUUAUGAAUAAGGAUCGGCUAACUCCGUGCCAGCAGCCGCGGUAAUACGGAGGAUCCGAGCGUUAUCCGGAUUUAUUGGGUUUAAAGGGAGCGUAGAUGGAUGUUUAAGUCAGUUGUGAAAGUUUGCGGCUCAACCGUAAAAUUGCAGCUGAUACUGGAUGUCUUGAGUGCAGUUGAGGCAGGCGGAAUUCGUGGUGUAGCGGUGAAAUGCUUAGAUAUCACGAAGAACUCCGAUUGCGAAGGCAGCCUGCUAAGCUGCAACUGACAUUGAGGCUCGAAAGUGUGGGUAUCAAACAGGAUUAGAUACCCUGGUAGUCCACACGGUAAACGAUGAAUACUCGCUGUUUGCGAUAUACAGCAAGCGGCC